GACAGAGGGUGCAAACGUUGUUCGGAAUUACUGGGCGUAAAGCGCGUGUAGGCUGCUCGGAAAGUCGGAUGUGAAAGCCCUGGGCUCAACCUAGGAAGUGCAUUCGAAACUUCCGAGCUAGAGUUCUGGAGAGGAAGGCGGAAUCCUCGGUGUAGAGGUGAAAUUCGUAGAUAUCGAGAGGAACACCGGUGGCGAAGGCGGCCUUCUGGACAGUGACUGACGCUGAGACGCGAAAGCGUGGGGAGCAAACAGG
rnacentral:rRNA from 1 species